UCGACUUACCGCCAGAGACAAGUGACAGAAGCUUAUCGAUGGCACUCGGACGAUAUGGGAAAGUGGAAUGUUUAACAAGAGAAAAAUUUCCCGCGGAUUCUGGCUUGGGGCAUAUGUUCACUGGUGUGCGUGGUGUAUAUAUCGACCUGAAAGAAGAAAUACCGCCAUCGCCUAAUUUUGGUAGCCGUAAAGGACGAACAUAUUACGACGGUCUUCAGGAUGUGUGUUUUCUUUGCCGGGCUGCGGGUCAUCGGGUCAUCAUUAUUGCAAACAACGACGCUCCGGAAAGCUUAGGAAAGAUCAGCCUAAAAACCAAUCCCAUCCGAGUUCAUAUGCUGGGGUUGUGUCUGGAGUUGAAUAAGAUCAUUGAACAAUUGGAGGAAGAUAACUUUGUGGAACCAAUGAAUAACGCAGUUACGGAACACUACUACGAAGCCGAUCGGAAGAGAAGAUCUUGAGAACGAAAGCAAAGUGGAAGAUAAAGGAAGUGACGUGGAAGAAAGAGAAGAAACUUAGGCAAAGCGGGUUCCGUCAGCCGGUUACCUCACGGAUUCGGAAAAUUAUGAAGAUGUGGCAGAUGCCGAACUUCAAACGAUGAGGAACCCACAGGCGAAUCAACGAAGAGCCCUGUUCGCGUCUUAUAGGGGCAAGUCAAGUUCCCGUCCUAGGAAGUAGGGGAAAGUGGGGCAAGACCGCCAUAUGGGGUAAGACAGCCAACGUUGAUUACAACUUAAGUGAGCAUCAUAUUCACAUUAUUAUUACGAGGCAUGGGUAACAAUAAUGUAAAAGGGCUAUACAACUGAAAAACGCACUUUGACAACCUCGCUUGUUCUUGAAAUAUUGAUUUUAAGAUGGUCUAGUUGAAAUUCGAGUUUUCUUAUAAUUUUGUAGUUACAUAAUUUAAGGUUUAAAGCCUAAAGGACUCAAUUUUCACCAUAAAUUGAUAUUUAUAUAAUUAUAGGGGAUAAGGGGAUUCUAGGGAAUUAACAGUAAUUAUGAUCGACAGGAUAUAAAUCUUUGGAUAUAUGUCGGCUUGGGGCGGUAUUGCCAACUGUACAAAGAACAAGGUUUAAGCAUCGCCUAGCCCUUAAAUGGAUUUCCAAAAUCAUCGAAAUAGUUUCAGCCUGAAUCAGACGUGAUUUUAAACAACGGAUAUGGUUUUAAUCGUGGUUUGAAUCGUGAACAUUAGUUAUAGGCAAAUUCAGGUAUUGCCGUAUAGCCAGUGGUCAACAAAUCAACAUGGAAUACGACAUUUUCAAGCGAAACAGCAUUUGAGCAUAAUCCUAGAAGUGGAAGAAAUAUGUCACCCGUUCUAAAUAAAUUCAGCACGCUAUUGACAUAUUUUUUUAUCCUUGUUCGUCUUGCCCCGAGGGGGUGGUCAUAUCGCCCCAUAUGGUAAAUAUAGGCGUCAUAAAAACACAU